rnacentral:sRNA from 1 species
UCAUGCCGAGCUCAAAAGUCCUUCCUUCACGACGUGCCUCUGCACAGGAGAGAAGGAAGGACUUUAUGACACGCCUCUCUAUGAGCAUGAAGCGGGGGAUACCCCGCGAAAUGCGAAUAGAAGGCUGCAUGGUGUGAGCUGCACCGCAGCGAACCCAUGCGGAAUUA